rnacentral:lncRNA from 1 species
UUUCUGACUUUCAUCAGACCCCUUUUAUCGGUAACUCUCACCCCUCACCUGAUUAUUAUGCUUGUUUCAUGCUAUAAAUCUUAUGGAAUUUUCCACGCACUGUUUUUCCUAUAGCAUCGUACCUUUUUUUUUUUUUGAAUUUUUAUAGCAUCGUACUUGUAUACUAUAAUAUGGAGUUUUUAUGGUUUUCUUGUUAUUUAUUUGUAGUGAGGAGAAUGUAAUACAUGCUCUGGAAGAAUUUGUGCAAUGAUGGAAUAGAAGAUUUUGAAGGAUCUGAUCUUUCUGUUGCUUUCAUUUCCAUUCAAAAGAAACAGGCAAGUACUAUACUAUUUCUUUGUCUCAUAGAGAAUCUGUUUUAUAAUUUUAUUCAUGUUUCAAGUUGAUUCAUGGUUUACACUUUUAUAUUGAGUUUAUGAUUCUUUUAUUGACCUACCCUCAGAUGUAUUUUACUGAAAAAAAUGUGAUGUUAGCAUGUGUUGAAAUUAGGAGUGGCAAUUUGUUCCACCAAAUUCAUAUCUAUCUAUUUAGACUAAAUUCAGUAUUGGGAUUUCUUACAUAAAAUCUAUUUAGACUAAAUUUAUGAAAAAUAAAUAAUACAUCAUAAUAUAAAUAGAUCGGAUGGACAUCUAUCUAUUAAAUUAUUGUAAUGGAUGGAUCAGAUAAUUUUAUUCCUAGAAUGGAUGUUUUUAAAAAAAUUUAGUGGAUUUUAAUAGACUAAUUGAUUGUUUUGAUCUAUCCAUUAGAAUCCAAAUCUAAAUAUAUAUUAAAUCCAUUAAUUUUGUCACCCCAUUUGAAAUGUUUAAAACUUAUAGCACACCGAAUGAUUAAACUAGUUGAACCAUGAACCGACACUAUCCGACAUUAUCUACGGUUCGAUUGAACCAUAACCAUGACAUGAUGAUCAUAUAAUUGAAUUGUCGAAAUUGAAUUGUCGAGAUAGAAUAGACUUUAAUUUCAUUAAUUUAAUAUGUGUAUUAAUUACAAUUAAUUGAAAUUGUUAGUGUCAUGUCACGUGCAUUCUCAUUAUUAAAGAAAGAGUCUAUAUCAUGAUCGUUCUCCAUAGUUAGGAGAGCAUGUCCACUAAAGAGCCUUAAUUUCAUUGUGUCAUCAUUUACCCAAAGACCAUGAUCGUUUAGCCUAAGAUUUUCUUUGUGUGGUAAGAAUCAUCAUAAAUGAUGUUGGACACUAUAAGAAUCCCCAAUGGACUUUUCAGAUGUACCAACACCAAAUCAUUGCAAAUCCAUCUCUUUGAACAACUACAACUUUCUUUAGCUUCCCAUUUCAAUGUCCAAAACUUUAAUUUGAGCUCAUGUUUCUGUCAAUAUUACACAGAUGUUUCUUGCAAAACGCAAAACUAGAAGAAAAUUAUGCUUGCACUUAGAACCAGCAAUAGUUGUACCUCAAUAAAUUGUAGAGAAUUUGUGGAGGUAUAUUUAUUGCUGGUUGUAUAUGUAAGCAUAAUUUCCUUCUAGUUUGAGCUCAUGUUUGUGUGAACAUUGCACAAAUGUUUCUUGCAAAAGGCAAAACUAAAAGGAAAUUAUGCUUACACUUAGAACCAACAAUAGUUGUGCCUCAACAAAUUGUAGAGAAUUUGUGGAGGUACAACUAUUGUUGGUUGUAGAAGUAAGCAUAAUAUCCUUCUAGUUUGAGCUCAUGUUUGUGUGAACAUUACCCAAAUGUUUCUUGCAAAACGCAAAACUAGAAGGAAAUUAUGCUUACACUUAGAACCAGCAAUAGUUUUACCUCAACAAAUUGUAGAGAAUUUGUGGAGGUACAACUAUUGCUGGUUGUAUAUGUAAGCAAAAUUCUUUCUAGUUUGAGCUCAUGUUUGUGUGAACAUUACACAAAUGUUUCUUGCAAAAGGUAAAUCUAGAACGAAAUUAUGCUUACAUCUACAACCAACAAUAGUUGUACCCACACAUAUUGUAGUAAGAACUUUAACAAGGUUUUCUAUUUAUUUUAGAAAUGUGCUCAACUGUAUAUAUUAUUACGAAUUGCUAGGCUCAUACACUGUCUUCCCUUGGAUUAGAUAUACGCUUGACAUUGUCGAUCCUUGGUUCCAUCUUUAGUAGCAGUUUCUUCAAAUAUUUUAAUACCCAUUUAAUUCAAAGGUCUUGAUAUUGUUCCAUUGCUCAAGAAUGACUCAUAUGGAACAAUAUCUCAAAUGGAAUAAAAUAUUUUAUUAUUUUCACACCCAUUCAACAAUGGACAAGACCUUUGAAUGAAAUGGAUAUUAAAAUAUAUGCCUGAUUGAUAUGAGGAUCGACAACAUCAAAUGUAUAUCGAGGUCACGGGAAAGAAGCAUAUAUAUAUAAGACUAGCAAUCGGUAAUGAUAUUUACUGUUGUGUGCAUUUUCUAAGAAAAAAGGAAAACAUGUUAAAGUUCUUACUCCAAAUUUGUAGAGGUACAAUUGUUGUUGGUUCUAGAUGUAAACAUCAUAAUUCCAUUACUAGAUUCACAUUUUGCAAGAAACAUCUGUGCAACGCUAACACAAACAAGUGCUCAAAUUCAAACUUUCGUACAUUGAAAUGGAAAGCUGAAGAAACUUGAAAUGGUUCAAAGAGUUGGAUUUGAGACAAUUUGGUGUUGGAAAAUGCAGAAAGUAAAUUGGGGAUCAAUACAGUGUUAGUCAUCAAUGAUGAUGUUUCUUUCUGAGCAAAGAGCAUCUAAGGCAAAAUGAGCAAAUGACAAGUCUAAUCUAAUAUGUUUUAAUUGUACUUUGCAGAAUGAGCGAACAUCAGCUUUGGAUUUCUGUUUUGUGGAAUCAAGUGUCAUUUCAUGUCAUUUCGUGUUUUUUGGAAUCAAGUGUCAUUUCGUGUUAAUUGCAAAAUUUAACAUCAGUGGUUAAAACAUGAGACUAAAAACACUUGCAGUUGGCAUAUAGUCUAUAAAAUGCCAAUAAAUUGAAGUAUAUUACUUAUCAUGAUAAACAAUAAGACAAGUUGGAAACCGUUAUUAAUCAAUUUGUAUCUGAUAAACUAUAUGCAACCACCAGUCUUUUGUGUCUUAUGCUUCUACCAUUGAUAUCAAAUUUUGCGGUUAGUAUUAAAUGACAGUUAUGAUCUAUUCUAUAUUUCAAGUUUUCUUGCCUUGCCAUCAAUUGUGAUGUCUUAACAUAAUGUUAUAGGGUUAUCUCGGUAAGGGUUUUUUAGGAGUACGAUUGUCGUUCUAUCAUGGUUUGAGUGGAUUUUAAGUAGAUGAACCAUGACAUUAAAGUAUGUGAAUUUUUCAAUCAAAUUAUGAUUCCAGAAAACUCUGAUUUGCAUAUUAGUUUUACUUAAUUUUACUAGUAAUUUUUCCUAUUUACAUGACUUUUCUUCAGGUUGAUCCUUCUACUCAAGUUUUUAGCUCAAGCAAAUUGGAUACAUGUAGAUACCAUAGGAAUGAAAUAAAAAUCUUUUUUCACUCUUUGA